rnacentral:tRNA from 1 species
GCGGGCGUCGCCAAGCGGUAAGGCAUCAGCUUCCCAAGCUGAUAUACGCGGGUUCGAUUCCCGUCGCCCGCUCCA